rfam:Planctomycetes bacterium RBG_16_64_12 RBG_16_scaffold_20153, whole genome shotgun sequence.
GGGGACGUAGCUCAAUUGGGAGAGCACCGGCUUUGCAAGUCGGGGGUUGGCGGUUCGAUCCCGCUCGUCUCCA